CGGCAGGCAUAAUACAUGCAAGUUGAACGGGAUCAGUUGUAGCAAUACGACUGUGAGAGUGGCGCACGGGUGCGUAACACGUAUGCAACCUACCUUAAACUGGGGAAUAGCCCCUCGAAAGAGGGAUUAAUACCGCAUAACGAGGCGUGUAGGCAUCUACACUCCUCUAAAACUCCGGUGGUUUAAGAUGGGCAUGCGGCUGAUUAGCUAGUUGGUGAGGUAAUGGCUCACCAAGGCUACGAUCAGUAGGGGGUCUGAGAGGAUGUCCCCCCACACUGGUACUGAGACACGGACCAGACUCNUACGGGAGGCAGCAGUAGGGAAUAUUGGACAAUGGGGGAAACCCUGAUCCAGCCAUGCCGCGUGCAGGAUGACUGCCCUAUGGGUUGUAAACUGCUUUUGUACGGGAAGAAACCACAUUACGUGUAAUGUGUUGACGGUACCGUGAGAAUAAGGAUCGGCUAACUUCGUGCCAGCAGCCGCGGUAAUACGAAGGAUCCUAGCGUUGUCCGGAUUUACUGGGUUUAAAGGGUGCGUAGGCGGACUUUUAAGUCAGUGGUGAAAGCCUGCAGCUUAACUGUAGAAUUGCCAUUGAAACUGAAAGUCUCGAGUGUGGUUGAGGUAGCUGGAAUGUAUCAUGUAGCGGUGAAAUGCUUUAGAUAUGAUACAGAACUCCAAUUGCGAAGGCAGGCUACUAAACCAUAACUGACGCUGAGGCACGAAAGCGUGGGGGAUCAAACAGGAUUAGAUACCCUGGUAGUCCACGCCCUAAACGUUGCAUA
rnacentral:rRNA from 1 species